rnacentral:rRNA from 1 species
UACAGAGGAUGCAAGCGUUAUCCGGAAUGAUUGGGCGUAAAGCGUCUGUAGGUGGCUUUUUAAGUCCGCCGUCAAAUCCCAGGGCUCAACUCUGGACAGGCGGUGGAAACUACCAAGCUGGAGUACGGUAGGGGCAGAGGGAAUUUCCGGUGGGGCGGUGAAAUGCGUAGAGAUCCGGAGGAACACCGACGGCGUAGGCAGCGCCCUAGACGAGACCUGACGCUCAGGCACGAAAGCGCGGGGAGCGAACAGG